GGGGACUUCUGCUGCGGCGCCUGGAGCACCUCUCCUCCUCCUUCUGCACUGACCUUGGCGCCUGCAAGGCUGUUCCUCACUCCUCUCACUCUCCCAGCUGCUGUAUGGCGCAGCGUUUAUUUUCCCUGUCUUAAAUAUGCUCUCACAGAGGCGCAAAACAACAUCAGUUAUUGGCUAGGCUCUGGUCAGCAGUGGAGCCCUUACCAAACAUGGGGCAGCUUCUAGAUCCUUCUCACAGAAGCCAGCCUUAUGGCCCCCUGCUACCAAAACCUUGCCACGUAAACCCACUACAACUUCUCAAUGAAGAAGAUAGAGGUUUUUAAGAAAUUUAAAUCCUUUUAAGUGCUUGUGGGAUAUUUAGGGUAAUGUCACACCUUUGCCAAGCCAGCAUGAAAAACAGCAUUAACUAAGUAGUGAAGCAGUCUGUGUGGACACAUUUUCAAGCUGUUUAAUAUGUCCGACAUGCUUAGUAAAUAUUCACAAAAAUUCCUCCAAUAUUUCCCCCCCUAAUAAGGGGAAAAAAGUAAAAGGAGUUUCUGGAACUACACCAAUUCUUCCAAAUAAAAUACUCACAUAUAUGUCUUUUCUUGGUAAUGUGUUUGCAAACUCUGAACAAAAAUGAAAAUAAAGAAGUAUAAAUUACUUCUGCUGUCUGAUCUAAGCCUGUAGAAAAGCUGCAGGUGAAGCUACAAGCUAAAAUUCACAAGAGGGUCAGAACUGAUUUUAUAGGUAAUUAGCAAGGGAAGUUGUGUUGUCACCACACUUCACACUGCCUAGGAAAAGAGAAGUGUCCUUUACUCAUUCACUGCUUGGUCUUGCUCAGACGUGUUCUCUGAGGCUAGAAUAUCAGGAUCUAUUUGCCAACAUCUCCUGCCUGUUUUCUGUGUACAGGCAGAAGAGGACUGUCAAGAAGAUCUCUGCUCUUCUCCUUUGGAGUGCUGGCAGCAAAGGAAGACAAUUGGGCUGCAGAACUACAGAGCUGAAUAUGCUUGUUGCCUCCUUCACUACCAGGAACAAAAUAGGUAUAUUGGCAGUACUGAGAAACAGAUGGAAGCAUCUGAAUAACACAGGAAAUGUCAGAUCAUACUCUGGGGUUCUCACUGAUUUGAUGACAAUAUCUUUAUGACUGAGAUGAUGUAAAAUGGAUAUUUUUCUUAAGCCACAUGAAGUAAAGUCAUUUCUAAUAUCUUAUUUGGAAGAGGAAGAUUGCUAUUACAAGGUGUCUGUACACCAUUUUAAAGAAUAACUAACUUUACUUUAAGAUUGGACCUGUUAUUUUUUUCUAAUGGUAUGUCCUAGUUUGUACUUAAUUAAUUCAAGGAAUACCUAAAGGUGCAUGUUAAAUUCGAGCUCUGAUUU
rnacentral:lncRNA from 1 species